CUAAAACCAUCUCUCCGAAGCCUGUCUGCCUACCGUACCGCGAAUUUCAAUUCGCACACUAUGGCGCACAGGACAGUACCGCACACUUGCCCUGGUGUGCAAGCGCCAGGGAAAUUCAUUUUGCGAUACCAGGUAAAAGUGGAAACGCUCUUGCCCCCCGCAUUGGAAAGGAGAUCAGACUCACGCUUU
rnacentral:ncRNA from 2 species